GCCCUGUGCUUGGGUCUCAAGUCCCAGAGAGCCCGCAUCAGGGCGCUGGGACCCGGCACCGCUCUUUUAUUUUCCCCACCUGUCACUGUCCUGGUGCAGCACCUCCUCAGGAAUUCCAGGAAAAGGAGAAACAACCAAGACCAGGAUCUUGUUGGGGCAUCGCCACCGUGUCCCCCAGGCAGACACAUACCAAGUAAACACAACUACAGCCCAUUUCCUCACAUAAAAGCUGUGGCUUCCCUCCUCAGAACAGUCAUACACAGGCACACACGCAACAUGCCGCAAACCACUGCCGAAGGGCACGGGGUCCCUGAAGGCGAGGGGGUUUGAUGACCUGAGAUUGAGAAUCUCUGUGUGGGGUGGGAAGAGAGGAAAGCCCUGUAGACACCAAGACUGAAGGGGUCGGUGGAGCAGAGGAGCCUGCCGAGACUGAGAACGAAGGGUCUCCAGGUCCUCGUGCAUAAUGGGGAUGUCAAGAGCAUGCCUUUGACAGUCAUGAAGAUGAAGUGAGGUGCUGUGCGUUUUACAGCGUUUGGCACCAUGUCUGGCACAUGACAAGCACUCAAUAAAUCUUGUCUGUUAUGGUUCUGAA